GCUCAGGGGUUAGAGCACUGGAUUUGUAAACCAGGGGUCAUGAGUUCAAAUCUCACU
rnacentral:tRNA from 1 species